AUGCCCGCCGUGGUGAUGCGCUGCCCCCUCCUCCUCGGGCGGCACCCAGCGGCCGCCCUCCGACACUCCUUCUCCUCCUCCCGCAUGCGUUGUGUGCGCAGAGCCGCGGGGAGUGGGGGCCAGGGACGGUCACCGGCGUAUGGUGGGUUGCUGCUCGAUGCUGGUGGCACGCUGCUGCAGUUGGCGCAGCCGGUCGCCGAGACGUACGCCACCCUCGGCCGUCCAUAUGGUGUGAUGAAGUCCCAAAAGUACAUCAUGGAGGGAUUCAAGCGGGCUUUCUCGGCGCCAUGGCCCAAGACGCUCAGGUACCAGGGUGAUGGGCGACCGUUCUGGAAGAUUGUCGUGGCGGAAGCAACUGACUGCACAAACAAUAAUUAUUUCGAAGAAGUAUAUCAGUACUAUGCACAUGGAGAUGCAUGGUGUCUGCCUGAUGGAGCUUACAGAACACUGCAUGAUUUAAAAGAUGCUGGAGUUAAGCUAGCCGUUGUAUCUAACUUCGACACACGGUUAAGGAAGUUGCUCAAGGAUCUCAACGUCUCAGAUAUGUUUGAUGCCAUCGUGGUAUCAUCGGAGGUUGGAUAUGAGAAACCUGCUCUAGAGAUCUUCAAAAUAGCAUUAGAACAAAUUGGCGUGGAAGCCAGAAAUGCAGUACACGUAGGAGAUGAUGAAACUGCAGACAAGGCGGGUGCUAACGCUAUUGGACUCGAGUGCUGGCUGUGGGGAGAAGAUCUGAAGGAAUUUUCUGAGAUACAACACCGGAUCGUAGCAAAACGCUUACGAUGA
rnacentral:rRNA from 1 species